GUCUAGAGCCUUACCACGCUGAACGCUCCCGAUCUCCUCCGAGCUCAGAAACUAAGCAGGGCUGGGUAAGAAAUCACUGGUGGGUUGGGGACAGAGAGGGAUGCUUUGUAGAAAAUCAGGCUCUGAAUU
rnacentral:rRNA from 1 species